UAAAAGACAAAAUUAGCCCUCCAUGUUUUUAACUCAACAACACCUCCUCCCGUCGUCAUCAAUCGAACCUCUAUAUCCUUCGUUCAGCACCAACAUCAGCACCGUAUCCGCUACCACCCCCGACUCUCACACCACGAUCCUUCACCACCAACUCCAUUAACACCACCGUAAACACCACCACCCCCAACUCCUCACCACGUCAUACACAGACACAGCGAUUCACCACCGCCACUACACCAUCAACACCAUCGUUACCAGCUAAAUUAUCACCACGACACAGCCAUACUGCAGUGGAAGAUGAGUAGGGCUAACUAUAUUGAGCACAUUUUGGUACCUUUUUGUUAAUCCACUCUCAAUUUUGGCUAACCAUACAACUAAUGUUCAGGUAUUGGUCCAAGUUUACUUAAUUCUGCGGAUUCUUGCAAAAUUCUGCAACUGUGUUUCCUCUUAUUGGGAUGGAUAGGUCAGGUAAUGAUAUAUAUAUGCCAUUAUUGAAGAGACUAUAACCAAGAUAUCACUAGGUACAUCUCUUUCAACUAUGUGCAUUAUGAUACCCACUAUUUACGUGCCAAACUUUUAUGCUGAGCAAUAGCAAGAAACGAAGUAGUUAUCGAUAAAUAGAUGCUUAUUAGUCUAAUGUUUCAUUAUUUUUUUUGCUUAGUUGUUUAAUGGGUCUGCCACCUUGCAUGUAUUUUGCGUUUUGGAUGACCAUUUUUCUUAGGUACCUAAUCAGUAAUCAUUGGUGUGCAUAUGCUUAUUAGUUAACAUUUGAACUUCGAACUACUGUUUCUUGCAUGUAUAUUUUGUGUCUGGGGUGCGCCGUGCGCGGUUGAUCCCUCUUUUCUUUAUUAUAGUAAGAUUUAAGUAUCUUUAUUUGAUUGUGGAUUUGUCUCCUUCCAUAUUAUACAUUUCAGUAUCUUUAUUUACUUGGUAGAUUUUAUUGGUAGCAUGUAGCUUCCUUCGAUAGAUCAAGUGCAGGAGUUUGACUCAAAGAUUAGUUGUUUAAUGAAGAACACACUACCUCAUUUCCGUCGAAGUCCUAUACUAAUCGAGUUAGAAAGACAAAGGCAUGCUCAACUACAGGUCCGCCGAGUUUGGACCAAACAAAAACGUAAUGAUGUGAGUGAAAAUGAAAAGGAAGUACAUCUACAAAGACGCCGCAAUGAUCAUAAUUCAAUGACAGAAAUUGAGAAGGAAGCAAAUCUACAAAGACGUCGAAAUGCUUAUAUGAAGAAAACAAGAGGUGGUGACGAAAUGACAAGUCGACAGGUGCAUCGCACGUGCGUCUUUGCUAGUGCACAUAAAUACAUCCCUCUUUAAUUUUGAUUUAGACAAGUUUUUGUUUGAUGCCGGUUUUUUCUUGAUAUCUCGCAUUCGACUACAUAAUAUAUAAUAACUGUGCAUUUCUAAGUCAUCGGAUUGUAAACAUGCAUGAGUAUUUGAAGGUUUAAAAUUGCAUGUCUAUUAUGCACUGAAGUGCGUGAUAUUAUUAGAAUCCUCA